UACACAUGACAUACGUGACUUGCAUAGGCCGCAUUAGAGUUUUCGACGCUAUUGGUUCAACACGCACAUAGCAUUGGCUGGUAAACAUAAGAAGCCUAAAUUCGCAAUUACCUUUGGAAGAAGUACUGAAAUUGUUUUAACAAGAUGGUAUGAUUGAUAAUUGACGCCUGCGCCUACGUGGGUUGGCAAGUCCGCAAAGUCUUCCGCAAGUGUACCAAGUCUGGACCGGCGGAAGGGGAUGUGGACAAGCUAGCUGAUAGCUCACCAGAUGGCCAGGGAAAGUCAACAUGUAUCCUCAGGGGUGACCAGUCAAAUGGUGUUGCCAAUGGGAAGAGCAAGACGUACGAGCAAGGGAGCAACGGGACAGCGCCGCCCCCUGCCUGUGACACGGGAGGAUGAUACUAGUAACCCUUUUGACGCCAGUAACAUAAUCUCACACAGUCAAUGUGCUUGUUAUUAGAUGAACUGGUAUUGAAAGGGGUCAAUUCAUAAUUUCACCCUCUGUGGCCUACAAUUAUACAUGAUAACUAAUUUAAGUGAAGUUCCAUCACAUACUCUCCUAUAAGGUGAACUCAUAAAUAUCAAUUUUGCAUCCCGUUUCUUGAAGUGGAAUUAAGCAUUGUAUCUGUUUGACAUGUACUUUGGAAUUGCCCAUCACCCAUUGAAGUAAAGCAAACACUUGUGUCUUGACUGACCCAGCUAAAUUGGAAAUGUCCCCCCCCCCCCCAUCUUCUCCAAAGAUAAGGACCUGACCUAAACUACCUCAAUGAACUAAUAAUAUUGCUGUCCUCUCAUGUGACAGGGACAUUAAAGGGCAAACCAAUCUUUGUAACAAGUUGAGAUUUUGUUUUAAAAAUAUUAACAAAUUGAAAGAAAUUAAAAGUUGAUUCCUUAGAAAUUAUGUUGACAGUACGUCACAGUGAUAUUACUGAAUUACCAAUUUCAUUCAAAUUUAUUAGUAAGUUUCUCAGGUAUUUCUGCUGUCUUUCAGAGGAGCUUGCAAUAGAAAGUUGGAUUUUCCUUUAACAUGAAGGCACUUUUGCAGUGCCAUAUAUAAAGUCCUUUGUAAAAUCCAAAGCAAUGAUAGUAAACUUCUGGUUAUCCAUGAUAUAUAAUGAUUUCUUGUUUUGUGAUUAGGAUGUUUUUUAUUGAACAUUCUUUGGCCCUACAUUCAACCCUUUUAUGAAUUUGAUAAAGUGAGCAUUUGCACAAAUUUAAAGCUGCUUAGUCCUGUUAAAUGUCCCCAUUUAGAUAGUUGUAUGUACUGGUGCUGGAAUUGCUGAAUCAUUAUCCCACCCUGUAUUGGAACUUCACUUAGAAAUUGUAGAAAAGUGUAUUACCGUAUUAAAUUUGUUACAACCUAUCUCAUUGCCGUUAUUGAUAGGAGAAAUCUUUUCUUUUAUUCAUACCAGACUUAUGAUAGCUCAAAACUGAAACUUCCCAAACUGGGAAGAAGUUUUUGCUGGAAGUUACUUCUGACAGACGAAAAGAAAAGGUUUCUUCUCAAAAUAAUGGACAAUCAUCGUUCAACAUGUAUUUCUUUUAAUGUGGUGGUGGUGGUAAAUGUGGUGUAUGUAUUUAUUUUUAAAUGAAAAGUUGGAAAGUGUAUGAAUGUACAUGCAUUAUAUAAGGUGUAAAUGUCUUUCAUAAAGUUUUGGGAUCUCUCUCUUUCUCUCUCUCUUUCUCUCUGAGUUUAAUUAUAGUCUUUUAGAUGAUGAUAUGAUUUUUUUCUUUUAAUCUCUUAUAGAUAUUUUUCAUCAUUUGCUGAUGGGGGUGUAACCCAGAGAAUGUUGUUCAUUCAAGGAAUAACUGUUUUUGAGAGGCAUCACUUAUUUGAUCUACUGGUAUUGAUGCAUUUUGUCUAAUACUUUACAGAUUAUUCAAAUGGAUUACACGUAGUACUCUUCAUCAUUUCUUUCUUCUUCUUUUUUUUUGGGGGGGGGGGGCAGGCAGAGUAAUUUUGCCCAAUAGAUAUUGACUUAAGACUACAAAUCUAUGCAUAAUCAGAUAAAUGGACUAUGUUAAUUUGACCAUUAUAUAUAUUUCUCCUAUUUUUGUAAAUUGAAUAUCCUUGUGUCUAUAUUGCAUAAAAUGUUAUAUAUUAAAUAAAAAAACAAUUAAAAUCUUUA